CCUACGGGGGGCAGCAGUGGGGAAUAUUGGACAAUGGGCGAAAGCCUGAUCCAGCCAUGCCGCGUGUGUGAAGAAGGCCUUCGGGUUGUAAAGCACUUUCAGUGGGGAAGAAAGCCUUGGGGCUAAUACCCUCGAGGAAGGACAUCACCCACAGAAGAAGCACCGGCUAACUCCGUGCCAGCAGCCGCGGUAAUACGGAGGGUGCGAGCGUUAAUCGGAAUUACUGGGCGGAAAGCGCGCGUAGGCGGUCUGAUAAGCCGGUUGUGAAAGCCCCGGGCUCAACCUGGGAACGGCAUCCGGAACUGUCAGGCUAGAGUGCAGGAGAGGAGGGUAGAAUUCCCGGUGUAGCGGUGAAAUGCGUAGAGAUCGGGAGGAAUACCAGUGGCGAAGGCGGCCUUCUGGACUGACACUGACGCUGAGGUGCGAAAGCGUGGGUAGCAAACAGGAUUAGAUACCCUAGUAGUC
rnacentral:rRNA from 1 species